AGUGGACGCAUCACUGGUGUUCGGGUUGUCAUGCCAAUGGCACUGCCCGGUAGCUAAAUGCGGAAGAGAUAAGUGCUGAAAGCAUCUAAGCACGAAACUUGCCCCGAGAUGAGUUCUCCCUGAGACUAUAAGUCUCCUGAAGGAACGUUGAAGACGACGACGUUGAUAGGCCGGGUGUGUAAGCGCAGCGAUGCGUUGAGCUAACCGGUACUAAUGAACCGUGAGGCUUAACCUUACAACGCCGAAG
rnacentral:rRNA from 3 species